rnacentral:rRNA from 1 species
UACGAAGGGGGCUAGCGUUGCUCGGAAUCACUGGGCGUAAAGGGUGCGUAGGCGGGUCUUAAGUCAGGGGUGAAAUCCUGGAGCUCAACUCCAGAACUGCCCUUGAUACUGAGGAUCUUGAGUUCGGGAGAGGUGAGUGGAACUGCGAGUGUAGAGGUGAAAUUCGUAGAUAUUCGCAAGAACACCAGUGGCGAAGGCGGCUCACUGGCCCGAUACUGACGCUGAGGCACGAAAGCGUGGGGAGCAAACAGGG